rnacentral:rRNA from 1 species
ACGGCUCAGUAACACGUAGUCAACAUGCCCAGGGGACGUGGAUAACCUCGGGAAACUGAGGAUAAACCGCGAUAGGUCACUACUUCUGGAAUGGGUAAUGACCCAAACCUACAUGGCCCCUGGAUUGGACUGCGGCCGAUCAGGCUGUUGGUGAGGUAAUGGCCCACCAAACCUGUAACCGGUACGGGCUCUGAGAGGAGGAGCCCGGAGAUGGGCACUGAGACAAGGGCCCAGGCCCUAUGGGGCGCAGCAGGCCCGAAACCUCUGCAAUAGGCGAAAGCUUGACAGGGUUACUCUGAGUGAUUUCCGUUAAGGAGAUCUUUAGGCACCUCUAAAAAUGGUGCAGAAUAAGGGGUGGGCAAGUCUGGUGUCAGCCGCCGCGGUAAUACCAGCACCCCGAGUGGUCGGGACGUUUAUUGGGCCUAAAGCAUCCGUAGCCGGUUCUACAAGUCUUCCGUUAAAUCCACCUGCUUAACAGAUGGGCUGCGGAAGAUACUAUAGAGCUAGGAGGCGGGAGAGGCAAGCGGUACUCGAUGGGUAGGGGUAAAAUCCGUUGAUCCAUUGAAGACCACCAGUGGCGAAGGCGGCUUGCCAGAACGCGCUCGACGGUGAGGGAUGAAAGCUGGGGGAGCAAACCGGAUUAGAUACCCGGGUAGUCCCAGCUGUAAACGAUGCAGACUCGGUGAUGAGUUGGCUUCAUGCCAACUCAGUGCCGCAGGGAAGCCGUUAAGUUUGCCGCCUGGGGAGUACGGUCGCAAGACUGAAACUUAAAGGAAUUGGCGGGGGAGCAC